rnacentral:tRNA from 1 species
GCCCCCUUGGCACAGCUGGAUAGCGCGAUCCCCUCCUAAGGGAUAGGUCAGAGGUUCGAAUCCUCUAGGGGGCACCA